rnacentral:lncRNA from 1 species
CAGCCAAGAUUUUAACAGAGUAUUCUUGGGCCACAUUCCCCAUCCGGUGCACUUCCAAAUGACCCAAGAUCGCUAAUUUUCGAUAAGUUUUCCCACGGACUCCAUGCCUCCCUCCUAAUUAGAAUUUAUUACUCCCCUCGUGUCCAUAAGGAUAGGAAAAAAAACAUAGUAGGAUCGAAAGGGAGAAAAGGAGAGAUAGAGAGAGAUCGACGUCGCUCAUCCCCUAGUUCCCCGAUCACAUAAAACCCUAAUCCUCUCCGAUCGAUCCCCCUAGUAUUCCCUGCAUCAGUCCGGAUUUCGAUCGAUUCCUUUCUC